UACGUAGGGGGCAAGCGUUGUCCGGAAUUAUUGGGCGUAAAGAGCUCGUAGGCGGUCUGUCGCGUCUGCUGUGAAAGCCCGGGGCUUAACCCCGGGUCUGCAUUCGAUACGGGCUAGCUAGAGUGUGGUAGGGGAGAUCGGAAUUCCUGGUGUAGCGGUGAAAUGCGCAGAUAUCAGGAGGAACACCGGUGGCGAAGGCGGAUCUCUGGGCCAUUACUGACGCUGAGGAGCGAAAGCGUGGGGAGCGAACAGG
rnacentral:rRNA from 1 species